rnacentral:snoRNA from 1 species
UUGCUGUGAUGACCAUCUUAGGACACCUUUGGAAACACCCAUGAAAAAAAAACUGAGUUACUUCUGAGCAAC